UACGGAGGGAGCUAGCUUUGUUCGGAAUUACUGGGCGUAAAGCGCGCGUAGGCGGCUUUGUAAGUUAGCGGUGAAAGCCCGGGGCUCAACUCCGGAACUGCCUUUAAAACUGCAUCGCUUGAAUCCAGGAGAGGUGAGUGGAAUUCCGAGUGUAGAGGUGAAAUUCGUAGAUAUUCGGAAGAACACCAGUGGCGAAGGCGGAUCACUGGACUGGUAUUGACGCUGAGGUGCGAAAGCGUGGGGAGCAAACAGG
rnacentral:rRNA from 1 species